rnacentral:rRNA from 1 species
GCUUAAUUAAUAUAAUAAUUAUAUCUUUAGGGGGCGUUAAGUAUAAUUGUUGUAUUAAAUUUAUUGGGGUGAUAAGAAAAUAGUUAAACUUUUCUAGUAAUAACAAUUUUAAUUGGUUGUAUGAUCCUUUAUUAUGGAUUAUAAGAUUAAGU